GUAAGUUUUAUUUAAAAAAGUAUGGUAUGUUUACGAUUAUAUCAUUUAAUUGUCUUUAUUUUAACCUGUAAAUGUUAAAACUUUGUAUUACAAUUUCAAUCCAGAUGAUGUUGUGGGGAUCAUUUCUCAGGCAAUCAAAGAACUCUAUAGAGAUGCUUAUCCUACAUGGGGAAAGAUCUCUAGCAAUCUCAAGAGACAAAUAUUUUGGAGUUCAGGAAAAAAUGUGCUUGGCGUCCGAAACAUGAGGGCCAAAAUUUGUGCAUAAUUUCACAAGAAAGAUAUGCAUACUCUUGUUGGUUUGUUUAAUAAAGCUCGUAGAGAUAAUAAGAAACCUAGCUGGGUUCUAUCGGAGGAUUGGAAAAAAUUACUUGUGCAUUGGAAAUAUGAUACAAGAUUUAAGUAGAUGAGUGAGAUCGGUAAAAAGGCAAGAUCAUCUACUAAGGGUGGUUCUCUACACACAAGUGGGGCUUAAAGUCAAGGAAGUAUGAGGAGGAAAUUGGAAAAGGAACUAGGAAGACCGGUAACUCAGGCUGAGGCAUUUAAGGCAACACACAUUAGAAAGAAGAAAAAUCCUGAAGAUCCAGAUGUGUGGGUUGAACCACGAGCUGAAGUGACCUAUGUAAUUCUCUAAUUUUAAAAAAUAAUUACUUAUUUUCUAAAUUUAUAUUCUAAUAUAAUAAAAUUCAAUUUCGAAUCGAUAUCUUCAAGCUUUGGAGGAUUUACAACAAACUCUGCUGGAAGAAAAUUGAGGUAUGUCACUUACUCAAGAACAGGCUGAGAGAGUUUGGUUAGACUUGACUGGUGAGCCGGGUAGAUAUGGGUAUGCAUAUGGAAUGCCGCAGAAAAACUUUCACGAAUUUUUUCUUAGUUUGAAGGCCUAAAUAGUUCAUAUCAUGAUAAAUCAAUGAAGAAAAAUUUGGCUAUGGGGCAAAAGAUUGUUGAGCUAUCUAGCCAAGCCAAAGAAUCACGGGCUAGGGAAAGGCGAUUGGAAUUACAGUUUGCGGGUCUUAAGGCUCAAUUUGAUGCAUUACUUGCUUCAGAAGGGAUUUCCCCUUGUUCUGGUGAUGUCACUUUCCCUCCUCGACCUCCUCAAUCUCAACCUACUCAAUAUCCAGUGUUGGUCACAAAGAAAUAUGACACAUGAGUCUAGUAGUGAUGAAGAAAAUGAUGAUUAUGUCGCAAACACACUACCACAUUAGUGAAGUUUAGACUUGUGAUAGAUAAUCUAAGUUAACUUAUGGAUAAUUUUGUUAACUUUAUAAUUUUGUGAUGAGAAUUAUUUGUUUUAUGAAUACAUGAUAAUAUUGCAAUGUGUUAUAUAACU